rnacentral:rRNA from 1 species
ACUACGGGUGGCUGCAGUGGGGGAUAUUGGCCAAUGGGGGCAACCCUGAUCCAGCGACGCCGCGUGAGUGAAGAAGUAUUUCGGUAUGUAAAGCUCUAUCAGCAGGGCAGAAAGACAUGACGGUCCCUGAGUCCGAAGCCCCGGCUAACUACGUGCCAGCAGCCGCGGUACUCCGUGGGGGGCAGACGUUCUCCGAAAUUACUGGGGUGAACGGAAGCGUAGACGGGAAUGGAAGUCUGGAGUGAAAGGCGGGGGCCCAACCCCCGGACUGGCCUGGAAACGGGGUAACUGGAGUGCAGGAGAGGCAGGCGGAAUUCCUAGUGUAGCGGUGAAAUGCGUAGAGAUUAGGAGGAACACCAGUGGCGAAGGCGGCCUGCUGGACUGUAACUGACGUUGAGGCUCGAAAGCGUGGGGAGCAAACAGGAUUAGAUACCCCGGUAGUC